CUAUACCUCGUGGAAUUGUUGAUUUUUGUUAUCAAAUCUCUCAAACUCACAGUUUCUGUGAUCAUGACGUGAUUGUGAGUGAGCGAACGGUGCUUGAUUGGUGUUCUUUUUGUCGUGAGGUUGAAUUAGGGUCUGAAUGUUAAAGGUACCAAUGUACAUGGGAACCUUGGGACGAAGUUUGCUUGAGAACUCUGAUCGUGAUGGCCCGGGUUCCCCAGAAUCCGAAAACCCAGUUGUCGUCUGUCAACGAGUGGAUUGGUUACCACCUGGGAAUCGUCUCCAAUGGAAGGUGUUCGGAAGACUUCAUCUGUGAACGUGGGCUCCCUGUCAGACGUUGGGGACAGCACCGUGAUGACGCUGGUAGUAGGUGACGCGUGUCUGGUGACGCACUGGGCGAUGCUGCAGUUGUGUUCCAGCUUGACGCACUGGAGAGCAAGCAGCAGCCAGCAGACAACUCCCGAUGUGGAGGCCCCGGUGCUGCACCAGCUGCUGUCGUACAUCUGUACACUCCAGCCAUCCCCCUCUCCCCCACCGCCAAGCACAGUUUCCCAGCUAUUGGUUGCUGCCGAUAAGUAUGGUGUGUCAGUCCCGAAGGAAGAGUGUGAGAGACAGAUGGCGAUGGUGACUGCAGCAGCCACAGAUGUUGUAGCGGUUAUGCAAUCCUCCCACAUAAAGGCCCGUUUAGUUUGAGAUGGGUAUAAUGCUUAAAUGGCUGUCAUCUGAUCCUCCAACAGGAACCAGAAUCAUCUCCAAUGGAAGGCGUUCGGAAGACUUCAUCUGUGAACGUUGGCUCCCCGUCAGACACUGGGGACAGCACCGUGACGACGCUGGUAGUAGGUGACGCGUGUCUGGUGGCGCACUGGGCGAUGCUGCAGUUGUGUUCCAGCUUAACGCACUGGAGAGCAAGCAGCAGCCAGCAGACAACUCCUGAUGUCGAGGGCCCGGUGCUGCACCAGCUGCUGUCUUACAUCUAUAUACUCCAGCCCCCCCUCCCCCGCCGCCAAGCACAGUUUCCAAGCUAUUGGUUGCUGCCGACAAGUAUGGUGUGUCAGUCCUGAAGGAAGAGUGUGAGUGACAGUUGGCGAUGGUGACUGCAGCAGCCACAGCUGUUCUUGUGGUUACGCACUCCUCUGUCAGAUCCGCCUCCCGCAUAAAGGCCCGUUUAGUUUGAGAUGGGUAUAAUGCCUAAAUGGCUGCCAUCCGAUCCUCCGACAAGAACCAGGGUCAUCCACAGUGGAACAAGUUCUGCAGACAUCAUCCGUGAACUUGGGUUCUCUGAACGUUGGGAACAGUGCCACGGUGACACUGGUAGUGGGUGACACACGUUAGAGGGUGCCUUGCGCCGUCCUGCAGCAGUGUUCAAGCACGACACACUGGAUGCCAGCAUCAGGUAUCACAGCUGUUGGAUAUUGCCGAUCAGUAUGGGAUGCCCACCCUGAAGGAAGAAUGCGAUACGCAGUUGACCGUGGGGACUGUGGCAGCUGCAGCUGUACUAGCAGUUACGCACUCCUGUGUCAGUCUCUGGCAUGACACAGUCUGCUGCAUAAAGGCCCGCUUAGUCCCUGUGUUGGCCUCACAGGGCUCUGUAAAUGUGGUGCGUAACCAGGCUGAACAUUUCAUCAAAAGGAGUCUGCUGCCAUCUGAUCCACCAGCAACAACCAGGAGGCUGUCUGGAGAGGAGAAUGGAAGGAAGUUGAUGCAGGCAGCAAGGAGUGACUCAGCAAACUGUGGACACUGUUUAUAGUGAGUGAGUGCAGACGUGAUAGGACAGGUGGACUGCCCCGUGCUACGUAGCAAUGAAGGGACACGUGAACGCAGCAAUGUCACCAGUGGAGAGCGGAGCUGAGGUGGAUGCCGGGACAAGCAGCAUACUCUGCACACUGCUGUGAGGAGUGAACACGCAGCACUGGUGCAACUGCAGCUGGCAUCCUCUGCUGACACCGAAACCAGGCGUGUGGAGGGGAGAACGCUGCUCCACUGCGCGGCACUCAGAGCUUGUGUACCUUGGCUACUGUGUUGGUGGGUGCAGGGGCCAACAGAUGGCCAGGAAUGAUUUGAGAGAGACCCCUCUAACAGGGCCCAAGAUGAGGACAGAUGGCAGCUGAUGAUUGCAGUACUAUCAUGAAAUGUGCAGUCUGGUAAACUUCUGUGGAAUAAACGAGAAACACUUUCUCCAUCUUUUUAAUACUUUUAAAAUAAACAAUACAAAACUCCUAAA